CUUUGACCACUUGCCAUUUGAGGGAGGAGACUUGUUUUUGUGGACCCCGUUUGCCCAUCCAAGACGCCUGAGCUGCAUGACUCUUGAUCCUGGUGACCCCUUGGAAGAGGUGACGCAGCUAUCAGCAGAAGUGGCAACUCCUCGUUAAGAAGCUCAGAAAAAGCUGUCAGAGGUAUCUCCUUGAAGAUGGCAUCUCUGAGUCACGGAAUUGAAGCUAAUGGAAGACUCAUGUCAACAAACUGCUUCUGUUCCCCUGUGAUCAACAUGGGAGCAUUGCACAUUUAUGGUUUGAUGCAGUACCUCACAGGAGAACAAAUACAGCUCUGUAGCUGCAGCUGGAACUGAAGGAAAAACUACAAAAGAUUAAUUUUACCUGUAAAUUUUCAUAUUGUCAUUUAUCUGAAAUUUACCUAUCAAAGGGACACUAAGAACUGGUGAUAGAUUAUUUAUUAAGGAAUCUGGUAUGGCAAAUUGUUUAAAUAUUUGUGAUGUAUGAAGAAAAGCA